rnacentral:rRNA from 1 species
AAUAGAUACCCAGGUAGUCCACGCCGUAAACGAUGGAUACUAGCUGUCCGGCGCAAGCUGGGUGGCUAAGCGAAAGUGAUAAGUAUCCCACCUGGGGAGUACGUUCGCAAGAAUGAAACUCAAAGGAAUUGACGGGGGCCCGCACAAGCGGUGGAGCAUGUGGUUUAAUUCGAUGAUACGCGAGGAACCUUACCAGGGCUUAAAUGUAGUGGGACAGGUCCAGAGAUGGGCCCUUCUUCGGACUCAUUACAAGGUGCUGCAUGGUUGUCGUCAGCUCGUGCCGUGAGGUGUCAGGUUAAGUCCUAUAACGAGCGCAACCCCUGUCGUUAGUUGCCAGCGAGUGAAGUCGGGAACUCUAACGAGACUGCCGGUGCAAACCGUGAGGAAGGUGGGGAUGACGUCAAAUCAUCACGGCCCUUACGUCCUGGGCUACACACGUGCUACAAUGGCCGGUACAGAGAGCAGCCACGCCGCAAGGCGGAGCGAAUCUACAAAACCGGUCACAGUUCGGAUCGGGGUCUGCAACUCGA